AGACAAUUUAGUAAUGAAAUAAACGUAUCACAGAAUUAUAUUGAUAAAACAAUUUCUUAAAAGGGAAAGAAAAAUAAAAGGAGAAAGAAGUUAUGGGAAAAGUGAAAUAACACUGCUCAAGAUUGUAUUCAUGACAGAUAAUAUUAUUAAUGAUUUAGCCCUGGUAAUACUUAAUGGAUUCAAUAGAACUGCUAAUAUGAGGAAACAAAGGGCAAAUAAUAAAAGGAUUGAUUUUUAUUUUUUUUUGGAGCUAACUAGAAGGGUAAAUAUUUCCCAUUGGCUCUUUCUCCUCCCCUUGCAACAAACCUAGUAGAUUUGGAAGUGCACAGAUUUGGUAAUAAAUUCUAUAAAAUGAUGGAGGAAUUAUAGAUUUAUGGUGCAGCUUCAAAUUAAAA